GCAGUAGCCGCGGUAAUACGGAGGGUGCAAGCGUUAAUCGGAAUUACUGGGCGUAAAGCGCACGCAGGCGGUCUGACAAGUCAGAUGUGAAAUCCCCGGGCUUAACCUGGGAACUGCAUUUGAAACUGUCAGGCUGGAGUCUUGUAGAGGGGGGUGGAAUUCCAGGUGUAGCGGUGAAAUGCGUAGAGAUCUGGAGGAAUACCGGUGGCGAAGGCGGCCCCCUGGACAAAGACUGACGCUCAGGUGCGAAAGCGUGGGGAGCAAACAGGAUUAGAGACCCCUGUAGUCCCUGUCUCUUAUAC
rnacentral:rRNA from 1 species